UGUAAAGUUCAAGCUCCGAUUAUGAGGGCGAAACCGCGAAUGGCUCAUUAAAUCAGUCAUAAUCUACUUGAUUGUUUCAAGUUUAUAUGGAUAACUGUGGUAAUUCUAGAGCUAAUACAUGCACAAAGAGGACGACUCUCCAGCAAUGGGGAGAAGUUCUGCGUUUAUUAGACUAAGACCAAUGAGGCUCCGCAAGGGGCCUCUCAAUCUAAGGUGACUCUGAGUAAAUAAUGGGUGAAAGCCCAUGUUGCUGACCUGACAUACCAAAAGGCCCUAAAAAAGCCUGUCAGGCAAAUCAAUCGAGUGUCUGCUCUAUCAACUGUGGAUGGUAGGGUAAUUGCCUACCAUGGUGAUGACGGGUAACGGGGAGUUAGGGCUCGACUCCGGAGAACAAGCCUGAGAAACGGCUAGUAGGACUAAGGUCUGCAGCAGGCGCGAAACUUACACAAUGCUAGAUUACGAAAUGACAUAGCGAUGUAGUGAAGAAAAAUAACGAUGUACUUACAUUUAAACAUGUUAGUACAAUUGGAAUGAGACGACUCUAAACCAGUCAGUCGAGUAACAAAUGGAGGGCAAGUCUGGUGCCAGCAGCCGCGGUAAUUCCAGCUCCAUUAGCAUACAUUAAAGUUGUUGCGGUUAAAAAGCUCGUAGUUGAAUUUUGGACGGGCUCUAUUGGGGUGCAACCGUUAAGGUUUAUAUUAAGUUGGUUCGCCCAUUUUUUAUCAAACUGGUUGUAUUUCCCCUAUAGGAACCCGUUGUUUCGUCACUUAAUCGAGUGCGAAGCGGGCCGGUACUAUCGAAAACCUCCGGGUUUUCAAGUAACGGCAUGUUUACCUUGAGAAAAUUAGAGUGCUCACAGCAGGCAGUUGGGGUGUAAAAGCUCCUUUAUGCUUGAAUAAUGUUGCAUGGAAUAAUAGAAUACGGCCUCGGUUCUAUUCUGUUGGUCUUAUAGAACAACAAAAAAGUUGAUUAAAGCGAUCAAAAGUCCUUUUUGAGUGUGGCUUUGUGAUAUUUAAGUAAAUCAAAUCAUUCUGGUAUUGUUGUCUGGGGCCUUAAAAUCUCAGUACCUUGCUAGUUUUGAAUCUUGGUCCUCAAAUUCACCUAGUCAUUUAAAGCACUCUUAAUGUGGCUAGCUUUCUAAUCAACUGAGGCAAUGGUUAAAAGAAAUAGUCGCGGCGGCAUCAGUACUGCAUCGUGAGAGGUGAAAUUCUUAGACCGAUGCAAGACUAACUGAAGCGAAAGCGUUUGCCGAGGAUAUUUUCAUUAAUCAAGAACGAAAGUUAGAGGUUCGAAGGCGAUCAGAUACCGCCCUAGUUCUAACCAUAAACGUUGCCAACUAGCAAUUGGGUUGCGAUUCCUUUAAUCGAAGCCUAAAAAACUUCGAUCAUUAUGAUCCACCCAGCGGCUCUCGUAGGGAAACCAAAGUGUUUGGGUUCCGGGGGAAGUAUGAUUGCAAAGUUGAAACUUAAAGGAAUUGACGGAAGGGCACCACCAGGAGUGGAGCCUGCGGCUUAAUUUGACUCAACACGGGGAAACUUACUAGAUUAGAACUCUGGAAUGAUUGACAGAUUGAUAGCUCUUUCUUGAUUCAGAGGAUGGUGGUGCAUGGCCGUUCUUGAUUCGUAUUCCGAAACGUCUGCUUAAUUGCGAUAACGAGUGAGACCUCACCCAACUAACUAGUCGUUUGGUGCGCUGUGGGACGCAAAAGUCUGUGUAAGUUUAAGGUUGUAAUUAGUAGGGUAAAACUUGCUGGUUGCAGCUACUUGCAUUAGAUGUCCUCUGCUCGCCAGCGGACUUCUUAGAGGGAUAAACGGUGUUUUAGCCGUAAGAAACGAGGCAAUAACAGGUCUGUGAUGCCCUUAGAUAUUCUAGGCCGCACGCGUGCUACAAUGGCGUGUGCAGAAAGCUUGUUCGAGGUUUGUCCAGAGAGAACUGGUCGUUUGGUUGGUAUUUGGGAGCAAUUCUAGGUGCUGAUCGGCGGAGAAGUGACUUUGGUUAUCAAGCCGAGAGAAACCGUAGUCGAAAGAUUACGGCAAUCAUAAAUACACGCCGUGAUUUGGGAUUGGGGAUUGCAAUUGUUGCCCAUGAACGAGGAAUUCCCAGUAAGCGCAAUUCAUCAUAUUGCGUUGAUUACGUCCCUGCCCUUUGUACACACCGCCCGUCGCUACUACCGAUUGGAAGUUUUAGUGAGGCAUCUGGACCUGCUAACCAAGAGGGGGGCAACUCUCUCAGGUCGGCGGGGAAGUUUGUCGAACUCAAAUUUCUAGAGGAAGUAAAAGUCGUAACAAGGUUUCCGU
rnacentral:rRNA from 1 species